AAGGCUACACAAAAAGGCAAAAUCAAUUUCCUUAGUCCUGUUACCGUAGCUUCCUCCAUAAGCCAAAUUAAAUUCCCUUUUCUUCUCUUACACGUCGGUUCCAAGGGACAAGAAAGCAAUUUCCCUUCUUCCUCUUGCACCCACCGAUAGCUAGAACAAGGAAAGGAAGAAAAUACUUCCAGCCCUCACCGUGCAACAAACCUUUCUCUCCCAUUCCAUUUCUCUCUCAAUCUCAAGCCAAGCUUCCAAGUUUCUUCUUUCUCAAGAGGGAAAUAGUAAGCUAAGAGCAUCCUCAACCCUCUUCCUUGAGUAUUUCGAAACCUAGCCAUAGUUUAAUCAAGUGGGUUUCUAUUGAUCGAUUAUUGAUGUUCGGUUUUGGACUUCCAGCCAAAGGUUUCGUAUAUCCUCUGUUUUCCUAAGCCGAAUCUAUCUCCAUUCUCCUCAUUUUCAUGUUUCGGAAGGUUUUCACCAAAGGAGUUUAUUUUCAAGAUUCAAGGAACUUACUUGUAAAGCCACGAGGUAAUGAUGAAAAGGCUGGGGAGCAAGACAUUACUGUAGAGGGAGAGGCAGACGCUUAGGACCUCCCCUAACUAGGAUAGUUAUGUUACGAUUGAUGGGUUAUGUUAUGUAUAGAUAUUUUAAGUUGGGAUGGACUCUGAGAAUCUCUUAUAGAUGAAUGUUCGAAUAGAACGUCCAUUAAGUGUUCCCUUUUAUUAAACGAAAAAUUUGGAGUGUAUGUGUGUCAUUUCCAUGCCGAUCACAUGUUAUAAGAAAGAAAAGAAUAGCCAUGUAAGUCAGGAUUCCGUCCUUCCUGGGACGGGGUCGUGACAUUGAAUGGUUUGGAAACUGGGUUUUUAAUAACAUGUGGAUGCAUGCGUAUCACGACCCCAAGUCGAGAAGUGACAUUAUUUCGGUGGAGCUCCUCUCUUCAUUCUGAAACAUAAUAAAUUGUGUGACGUCCCCUGUGUUGUUGCUGGGCGACAACGAGCUUUGACGAGAUGGUAACGCUCUCGUGCCGACUCCAUAGCCUCUCUGCUGGCGAGGGUUAGAGGAUGCUUGGUCACGUAUGCAUCGAGUGUGGAUUUAGGCAUUACUUGUAAUGUGGCAAAGGGAGCCAUGGUGUGCAGAUGGUCCUUAGGGGAGACCAUGGUGCAUGCAUAACUAAAAUGAUUGUAUGGACUUUAUGUGGAUCACGACCCCAAGUUGAGAUGGGACAUUAUCUUGGUGGAGCUCCUCUCGUCAUUCUUGAACGUAAUAAACUGUGUGACGUCCCCUAGGUUGUCGCCCAGUGACAACGGGCUUGGACGAGACGAUAAUACUCUUGUGCCAACUCCGUAGCCUCUUUGUUGGCGGGGGCUAGAGGAUGCUUGGUCACGUACUCGUUAGGCAUGAAGUUGGGCAUCACUCGUUACGAAGUCACAUGAACGAACGUUACCUAUAGUGUGCGCAUGGUCCAUAGGGGAGACUAUGGCGCAUGCGUAAUAAAAUGGUUAUGUUUUGGGCUAAAGGGAUUUUUGACAUUAGUGUUUGGUUUAAAUACUAUCUAAAGAAUUUCGUCAAGAAUUGUUUUACCACUUGACAUAGACAUGUAUAAAUUAAAAUCAAUCCAUAUAUACGUGCAUACACGCACAUACAUAUGUAGAUAUAAGACCAUAUUACGAGAACCCUUAGAAGCUUCAGAACCUAAGAACCCUUCUAUUCUCCUGUUUUCUUUCUCUUUCCUUGUAAUUCCUAACUACUUGCAUGUAUUAUUGUUCAUCUGAAAUGGAGAACAAAUACAAUUGUUAAUUGAUAAUUUCUGAGUA